GCGUUGUUAGUACAUCGGUAGUAUUCCAGCCUUCCAAGCUGGAGAGCUGGGUUCGAUUCCCAGGCAACGCA
rfam:Dacryopinax sp. DJM-731 SS1 chromosome Tnknown DACRYscaffold_2, whole genome shotgun sequence.